AUGAACCUUCAUUCAUAUCUUUCAACCUCCAUCAACAUCAAUCCUCCGUAUCUUUUACAACUUCCUUCACCAUCUUCAUCGAUUCUUCAACAUCAUCAACCUUCACCGUUCUGCUUCACUCUUCAUCAUCGUCGCUUCUUCAUCAAAUCAGCGUCAAUGCACAUCACUGCAUCGCAACUGCAACAA